UUCAUUUCUAGGGUUUUCUUUUUCUCUUUGAUCUCGAACUCUCUAAUUUGAUUUCCUUUUUCCUCUCUUCGUCGAUGGUUUCCCUAUCUGUGAAUUUUCAAGGAUGGAGAUCCAGAUGUUUUCUUGUGAUUCCUUUCGGUGGUCCAGCUUUCGGUGUUUUUCGACGGAUCUUUGAUUUCUUGGUUUUCGAUGUAUUGGUGAGAUGAUGAUUUAUAUUUGAUUGGGGAUUCUUUGAUUUCUUAUUCAAAGCGAUGUCUUGAGGAUCCAUCCUUUUCCUGAAUUGAUUUCUUGGUAUGAAGAUCAAUACGAUGGGAUUCUUGAUCUCUUCUUUAGUAGGAUGCGACGAGGAUUUGGGCUCUUUCGUAAAAGAUUGAUUUUUCGAGGACGGAGAUCCAUAUGGAUAGCUUGCGAUUCGUGAUUUGUCAACCUUGUUUUUUAUCCGACUUAAGAUGGAAAGUUUACUUAAUAUCAAGGAUGUCAACAAGAAGCAUUGAAAGUUUUGCUGUAUUGGGAGAUCGCGAGGAAGGGAAGAAGAACAGAUGUAUUUAGAUUUGUUGAUUGUUUGGGUAGUUUUCAAGCGGAUGUAUUGCGUUCUUGGUGUAUAUAUAGAAGCUGGUUUCAUCUCCAUCCAAGAACAGUGAAAAAGGUGAUGCAUAUUUUGUAAUAUGACCUUUGCCAUGAUGGGUGCGCUCGCAUGGCAGGUCGCCAUAUCCUUAAUAAAAGUUUCCUUUUUGUGGUUCUUGAGGGGGAGAUCGCACGGGGAUUUGAUUUGAUUUUAGUUCCCCCGGGUUCUCCCCCUCAUCUUGUGUGCUUCCUCUUUUUCUUUUUCUGUUUUGUGUGUGUCUGUGUGCGCGCGCUCAUGUCUUCACCUAUUACGGCGCUUCAUCGAUCAUGGCGCUUCACUGAUUACGGCACUUCACCUAUUACGGCACGAUUAUUACCUAUAUCUCAUCAUAGUUGCAGGUAAAAACUUCAAUUUUUUCUACAUUGUUUAAGAUGAAUUUUUUUACCAUCAUCCCAUAUUUACAGAAUGCUAAAUUCACAUCCCUGCCACAUUGCUUUAGUUGUGCCGUCUUUCUGUCUGCUUAUAGUCAAAAUUUUGUUUAUAAAUAAAUAUUUAUGCCCAAAUUGUGUGCUGUGUUAAUUUGUUCUGUGAGUCUGCUCAACCAAGAAACGAUAUUAGUUCUUGAAUUUGUUGUUUGAAGUUAAUGUUGAUUUCUUUGGUCUUCUAUUUCAUUAUUUGUUAAAUAUGCAGAAAGGCAAAUAUACCUAUCUUGUAUAGAAAAUUUGUAAAAUUUGUGUUAUAGAUUUGUUUGAAGUUUAGAAGGGCAAGCAUGCUACAAGUUAUUGUGGAUGGUGAAGAGAGCUGGUUCUUGUUUGAAGAAUGCUUGGCGUGAAGAAUAUGGUUUAAAUGUCCUGAUCACGGAUAAGGUCUUCAAGCUUGUUAAGCUCAGUUGUCAAGAUUUGCAUCUUGUUUCAACUUUGUGGAAUUUGUCUUCACUUUUGGCAUCAAGAGUUUACUGGGCUAGUCUUUUCAAAGUAGCUGAGGGGGGCAUGGUUCCCCUGGCCUUUCCUUUAUGGGCGUUGACAAGUUUUUUCAAGCAUCUUCCACUUCAUCCUCAAACUAUGGCUAGCUGUGCCAAUGUAAACUUAUUUAAAAGAUUGUUUUGUUUCAGUAGCUGCCUGGUGGACUCGCGUUGGUGCAUUCUGCUGCAAAUUUGUUUUUAUGUCCCAUGACAUGACUCAUCUAUCAGGAGUCAAAAGUGUUCUUACUAUGCAUUGACUUUCUUGUGAUUCAAUGUUAUAGCGGUUGACUCCAUAACAUGCCCCUUAUGUUAAUGUCAACCAAUGUCAAGUAGGGUUGUUGAUCACCCAGUGUCCAUUGCGUGUGACACUUGAUCACUUCCUCUCAAUCAAGUCAGGUGAUAACACAUCUCUCUUGCUGUCCUAUCCCCUGGGGGAUAGGAAAGGAGUUUUUUCUUUAUGAAGCAAGUGAAUCUUGUCUCAGUGGUCAGGAGUAUUGAUAUAUCUGUGUCUGACUGACAUAGCUGAGGAAGCUCGUUUCUGGUCAAAGAAAGGCAAAUAUUUGAUCUUAGGCUCUGCUUGGGAGGGUGUUUCUUUUGGGGGAUUGAUUUAGAUUUAACUUUCUUCUGAUGGGAAUUGUUUGUUUUGUUGGAGGCCAUUGCUUUAGUUUUAAUUGUUUGCUCUAUUCAUGACACACGCCACUUUAACUGCUUAGUCACCUUAUCUCUUCAUUAGAUUUGGUGAGAGUCAAACAAUCACUGGUUAGCCAAUUGCUUGUUACCAAUCAGUGCACCGGCAAAAUACAAGCCACGCAAGGCCAGGUGGGCGUGUAAUCUAUGUCUCAUCAUCAAUGCCUCUCAUCCUGAUCACAGAUGUCAUCAUGAUUCAAUUAACCCUUUGUUAAUGCCAACCAAUCUCAAAAGUAGGGUUGUGGAUCUCACCCAAAGGGCAUCUCUCUUGCUGUCGUAUCUCCUCAAGGGAUUAG